GUGAGGAAUAUUGGACAAUGGGCGCAAGCCUGAUCCAGCCAUGCCGCGUGCAGGAAGACGCAUCUAUGGUGUGUAAACUGCUUUUGUACGGGAAGAAACACUCCCUCGUGAGGGAGCUUGACGGUACCGUAAGAAUAAGGAUCGGCUAACUCCGUGCCAGCAGCCGCGGUAAUACGGAGGAUCCAAGCGUUAUCCGGAAUCAUUGGGUUUAAAGGGUCCGUAGGCGGUUUAAUAAGUCAGUGGUGAAAGCCCAUCGCUCAACGAUGGAACGGCCAUUGAUACUGUUAGACUUGAAUUACAAGGAAGUAACUAGAAUAUGUAGUGUAGCGGUGAAAUGCUUAGAUAUUACAUGGAAUACCAAUUGCGAAGGCAGGUUACUACUUGUGGAUUGACGCUGAUGGACGAAAGCGUGGGGAGCGAACAGGAUUAGAUACCCUAGUAGUCC
rnacentral:rRNA from 1 species